AACGAACGCUGGCGGCAUGCCUAACACAUGCAAGUCGAACGCGUGGCUUCGGCCACGAGUGGCGCACGGGUGAGUAACGCGUGGGAACCUGCCCAUCGGUACGGAACAACCGCGGGAAACUGCGGCUGAUACCGUAUAUACCCUGCGGGGGAAAGAUUUAUCGCCGAUGGGAGGGGCCCGCGUCGGAUUAGGUAGUUGGUGGGGUAACGGCCUACCAAGCCUGCGAUCCGUAGCUGGUCUGAGAGGAUGAUCAGCCACACUGGGACUGAGACACGGCCCAGACUCCUACGGGAGGCAGCAGU
rnacentral:rRNA from 1 species